GAUGAACGCUGGCGGCGUGCCUAAUACAUGCAAGUCGAGCGAACGGACGAGAAGCUUGCUUCUCUGAUGUUAGCGGCGGACGGGUGAGUAACACGUGGAUAACCUACCUAUAAGACUGGGAUAACUUCGGGAAACCGGAGCUAUACCGGAUAAUAUUUUGAACCGCAUGGUUCAAAAGUAAAAGACGGUCUUGCUGUCACUUAUAGAUGGAUCCGCGCUGCAUUAGCUAGUUGGUAAGGUAACGGCUAACCAAGGCAACGAUGCAUAGCCGACCUGAGAGGGUGAUCGGCCACACUGGAACUGAGACACGGUCCAGACUCCUACGGGAGGCAGCAGUAGGGAAUCUUCCGCAAUGGGCGAAAGCCUGACGGAGCAACGCCGCGUGAGUGAUGAAGGUCUUCGGAUCGUAAAACUCUGUUAUUAGGGAAGAACAUAUGUGUAAGUAACUGUGCACAUCUUGACGGUACCUAAGCAGAAAGCCACGGCUAACUACGU
rnacentral:rRNA from 1 species